rnacentral:rRNA from 1 species
GCUAGCGGCAGGCCUAACACAUGCAAGUCGGGGGGUAACAUUGGUGCUUGCACCAGAUGACGACCGGCGCACGGGUGCGUAACGCGUAUACAACCUACCUUUUAGCAGGGAAUAGCCCAGGGAAACUUGGAUUAAUGCCCUAUAGUAUGGUGAUCUCUCCUGGGAUUAUCAUUAAACAUUUAUGGCUAUUAGAUGGGUAUGCGUCCUAUUAGUUAGUUGGUAAGGUAACGGCUUACCAAGGCAGCGAUAGGUAGGGGUCCUGGGAGGGGGAUCCCCCACACUGGUACUGGGACACGGACCAGACUCCUACGGGGGGCAGCAGUGGGGAAUAUUGGACAAUGGGCGGGAGCCUGAUCCAGCCAUGCCGCGUGCAGGAAGACUGCCCUAUGGGUUGUAAACUGCUUUUACAGGGGAAGAACCACUCCCACGUGUGGGGGUUUGACGGUACUCUGCGAAUAAGGAUCGGCUAACUCCGUGCCAGCAGCCGCGGUAAUACGGGGGAUCCAAGCGUUAUCCGGAAUCAUUGGGUUUAAAGGGUCCGUAGGCGGGCAGUUAAGUCAGUGGUGAAAGUCUUCCGCUCAACGGGGGAACUGCCAUUGAUACUGAUUGCCUUGGGUUAUUAUGAAGUGGUUAGAAUGGGUAGUGUAGCGGUGAAAUGCAUAGAUAUUACUCAGAAUACCGAUUGCGAAGGCAGAUCACUAAUAAUAUACUGACCCUGAUGGACGAAAGCGUAGGUAGCGAACAGGAUUAGAUACCCUGGUAGUCUACCCCGUAAACGAUGGUUACUAGCUGUUCGGAUCGAUUAAGAUCUGGGUGGUUAAGCGAAAGUGAUAAGUAACCCACCUGGGGGGUACGUUCGCAAGAAUGAAACUCAAAGGAAUUGACGGGGGCCCGCACAAGCGGUGGGGCAUGUGGUUUAAUUCGAUUAUUCGCGGGGAACCUUACCAGGGCUUAAAUGUAGUCUGACCGGGGUGGAAACACUUUUUUCUUCGGACAGAUUACAAGGUGCUGCAUGGUUGUCGUCAGCUCGUGCCGUGGGGUGUCAGGUUAAGUCCUAUAACGGGCGCAACCCCUGUGGUUAGUUGCCAGCGGGUAAUGUCGGGAACUCUAGCCAGACUGCCGGUGCAAACCGUGGGGAAGGUGGGGAUGACGUCAAAUCAUCACGGCCCUUACGUCCUGGGCCACACACGUGCUACAAUGGUAGGGACAGGGAGCAGCCACUUCGCGGGAAGGGGCGAAUCUACAAACCCUAUCACAGUUCGGAUCGCAGUCUGCAACUCGACUGCGUGAAGCUGGAAUCGCUAGUAAUCGCAUAUCAGCCAUGAUGCGGUGAAUACGUUCCCGGGCCUUGUACACACCGCCCGUCAAGCCAUGGAAGCUGGGGGUACCUGAAGUCGGUCACCGCAAGGGGCCGCCUAGGGUAAAACUGGUAACUGGGGCUAAGUCGUAACAAGGUAGCCGUACCGGAAGG